ensembl:lncRNA
CUGUGCGCCAUGUUUGUGUAAUCGCGAUGCGUGAGGGAACAAACAAGAAGAGAAUGAUUACAGAUGAGAUUUUAUGUACUGCAGACGAUGAAUCAAUAAGUAUAUUUUUAUAUUAGCUUUCUUUAUUCUUAAUUUAGUCUUGCCAUUCCUGCGGCUUUCAUCCUAACGCGGCAGUUCUUGCUAACUGUUAUUCUGAUAUCGGGAUGUGAUCGCGUGUGUGGUGUGGACCAAAAAAAAUUUGGCAUCUGAAAAUACAAUAUUUUAUUUUAACUAAACGAUUUAAGAUUCAAUUUAAUGCUACUGGACAAAAUUCAGAUAUCCGAUCUUGUAAUAUUUAAUGUACGUUACAUAAUCGAUAUUAUAACCACCAGUAAUAAUCGAUAUAUCAGCCACCUCUAGAAAUAAUGCUGUUUCUUCUUCUUCUUCUUCUUCUUUUUUGCAUUUAAAGAGCGAGAUGUUCUGUUACUGCUUGUGUUUGUAAUAUGUAAUAUUUUUGUACUUAUCUGGAGUUAUUCAUUAAUUUUGCAGGAUCAGUACAGUUUUGUUACUGGAGAUAAGUUACAGUGUGGAAACCACUGAUCUAUAAUAUAGAAUAUUAUAUAUUAUAUAUAUAGAUCAGUGGUGGAAACACAGACCAGUGCUGAAGAGGUGAUGUUAGAAGUUUUUAAUGAAUUGUUGCCCAGCCAGCUCGCCUUGAUCACACAUUAUAAGCUAAAAGUGCCAUUAAGUCACUAUCCAUAUGGAUUUUAACUGCUUUGAAUCUUUUCCAUUUGCAAGUAAUAUAUUCCCUCCUGUGCAUUUACAGACCCCCCUCUAAUCAUCUUAUAUUUUACAGGUAACAAACCAAAGGAUGAGGACAGUAGCUUUUCUGUGCCAGCCGUGAUGAAUAAAGUAACAUCCUUCAUGAAGAUGUGUGAGAGAAGCUUGUAAGGUAUUUUUUCUGACUUUCGUGCCUCUUUGGAACAUUUCCAUUCACACAGACUGUGGAGAGAUGGUCUGCACCUUCAUGACAUUUGAAGUUUACUGCCGAUGAAGAGCUUCUGGGACACUGACAGACAGCACUUCCCAGCAAGUUCAUUUGGAGUUCUUGUUUUAUUAAUUUAUUUAUUUAUUUAUUUAAGUCAAACUUGCAUUCACUAAUGCUGGAGUAAGAUUUUAGAAGAAAACUUUCGGUCCCAUUUAAUGUUGGUGCUAGUAAAAGUUUGAGAACUUAUGGCCUGGUUUCACAGACAGGGCUUAGACUAAGCCAGGAUCAUAGUUCAAUAAGGACAUUUAAGUCAUUUUCAUUAACAUACCUUAGAAAAAAACAUUACUGGUGUGCAUCUUGAGACAAAACAAAGGCACUGAUAUUUUUAAAGAUUAGUCAGUGCAAUUUUCUUUCAGUUGAAACUGCUCAGAAUUACAUUUUUGUCCGGGGCUGAUCUUAAGCCUUGUCUGUGAAACCAGGGGUACAAGUAACACAGUUAGGUAAUGUUUUACAUUAAGGUCUCAUUUGUUGUACAUGGACUGAUAAUGUUCUUGAUUUUUUUUGUAUUAAGUGUUUGUAUGUUAUGGGGACCAAAUGACUCCACAAGGAUAGUAAUACCAGUAAAUUUUGACCUUGUGAACAUUUUGAGGACCCCAAUGAGGAAACAGGCUUAUACAUCUUACAGAAUGAUGUUUUCUGUGAUGGCGAGAUUAGGUACUUUUGUAUGUAAGUGAUUUUGCAUUCUUCUCCAGACUCUUUCUAAUAAGUGAGUUAAAGUGUUGUAACUGUAUAAUGUUGGGUUUUUCUUGUGCAUCAGCAAAAAGCACUUUUGUGUAUUUGUUUUAGAGAUUUUGUCAAUAAAUGUAAAGGGUUUUCCA